CAUGCCCUUAGCUGGGUCAGU
rnacentral:snRNA from 1 species